rnacentral:rRNA from 1 species
GAUGAACGCUGGCGGCGUGCCUAAUACAUGCAAGUCGAGCGAACGGACGAGAAGCUUUCUUCUCUUAUUUUAGCGUCGGACGGGUGAGUAACACGUGGAUAACCUACCUAUAAGACUGGGAUAACUUCGUGAAACCGGAGCUUAUACCGGCUAAUAUUUUGAACCGCAUGGUUCAAAAGUUAAAGACGGUCUUGCUGUCACUUAUAGCUGGAUCCGCGCUGCAUUAGCUAGUUGGUAAGGUAACGGCUUACCAAGGCGACGAUGCAUAGCCGACCUGAGAGGAUGAUCGGCCACACUGGAACUGAGACACGGUCCAGACUCCUACGGGAGGCAGCAGUAGGGAAUAUUGCGCAAUGGGCGAAAGCCUGACGGAGCAACGCCGCGUGAGUGAUGAAGGUCUUCGGAUCGUAAAACUCUGUUAUUAGGGAAGAACAUAUGUGUAAGUAACUGUGCACAUAUUGACGGUACCUAAACAGAAAGCCACGGCUAACUACGUG